rnacentral:tRNA from 1 species
UCCUCCUUAGCUCAGUUGGUUAGAGCAUCUGACUGUUAAUCAGAGGGUCGUUGGUUCGAGCCCAACAGGAGGAGCGA